AUUGAACGCUGGCGGCAGGCCUAACACAUGCAAGUCGAACGAGUGGCGGACGGGUGAGUAAUGUCUGGGAAACUGCCUGAUGGAGGGGGAUAACUACUGGAAACGGUAGCUAAUACCGCAUACCAUCAGAUGUGCCCAGAUGGGAUUAGCUUGUUGGUGGGGUAACGGCUCACCAAGGCGACGAGCCAUAGCUGGUCUGAGAGGGUGACUGGCCACACUGGAACUGAGGCACGGUCCAGACUCCUACGGGAGGCAGCAGUGGGGAAUCUUGCACAAUGGGCGAAAGCCUGAUGCAGCCAUGCCGCGUGUAUGAAGAAGGCCUUCGGGUUGUAAAGCACUGUCAGCGGAGAGGCGUUACCUACAGAGGAAGCACCGGCUAACUCCGUGCCAGCAGCCGCGGUAAUAC
rnacentral:rRNA from 1 species